AACGUAGGUUCCGAGCGUUAUCCGGAUUUACUGGGCGUAAAGCGCGUUCAGGCGGUUUGGCAAGUCGGGCAUGAAAUCUCUCGGCUCAACCGGGAGAGGUUGUCCGAUACUGCUGGACUUGAGGGCAGUAGAGGGUGGUGGAAUUCCGGGUGUAGUGGUGAAAUGCGUAGAGUAUCCGGAGGAACACCAGUGGCGAAAGCGGCCACCUGGACUGUACCUGACGCUGACACG
rnacentral:rRNA from 1 species